rnacentral:tRNA from 1 species
UGGCGUAUAGCUCAGUUGGUAGAGCGUCCGGCCGUUAACCGGAAUGUGGCAGGUUCGAUUCCUGCUAUGCCAG